rnacentral:rRNA from 1 species
GACGAACGCUGGCGGCGUGCCUAACACAUGCAAGUCGAGCGGAGACAACGGAGAGCUUGCUCAAAGUUGAUUUAGCGGCGGACGGGUGAGUAACGCGUGAGCAAUCUGUCCUGUACAGGGGGAUAACAACUGCAAACAGUUGCUAAUACCGCAUGAGACCACAAGAUCGCAUGGUCAAGGGGUUAAAUGAGAAAUCCGGUACAGGGUGAGCUCGCGUCUGAUUAGCUAGUUGGUGAGGUAACGGCCCACCAAGGCGACGAUCAGUAGCCGACCUGAGAGGGUGAUCGGCCACAUUGGAACUGAGACACGGUCCAAACUCCUACGGGAGGCAGCAGUGGGGAAUAUUGGGCAAUGGGCGAAAGCCUGACCCAGCAACGCCGCGUGAAGGAAGAAGGUUUUCGGAUUGUAAACUUCUGUCCUUGGUGACGAAGGAAGUGACGGUAGCCAAGGAGGAAGCCCCGGCUAACUACGUGCCAGCCGCCGCGGUAAUAC